rnacentral:lncRNA from 1 species
AAGGAGCUAUAGGAGGUGCAAGAUAACAAGGGACAAGGUUGAACUUGAGAGGAUAGCUGAGAAUUCAACAGCAUUUCAUUACUCCAAAUCAAGUUACAUUUACAAUGAGAUGAAGCUCUCUUUUAUAGGAGAAGGAGAGCUAUCAAUCUUGCAGUAGAAGCUAUCAUAAUUGCACAUGAUGGAAAACCAAGGUAGCUUGUGGAGGAAGCUUGUCCAGCUGGCUAGGUGCUCCAUCUGAAACACGUGCUCAGGGAAGAAGAUGACUCUCGUC